rnacentral:rRNA from 1 species
GAUCCUGGCUCAGGAUGAACGCUGGCGGCAUGCCUAAUACAUGCAAGUCGAACGAGAGGAAGGAGAGCUUGCUUUCCUGAAUCUAGUGGCGAACGGGUGAGUAACACGUAGGUAACCUGCCCAUGUGCCCGGGAUAACUUCUGGAAACGGAUGCUAAAACCGGAUAGGUAGCAGACAAGCAUUUGACUGCUAUUAAAGUGGCUAAGGCCAUGAACAUGGAUGGACCUGCGGUG